rnacentral:sRNA from 1 species
GUAGGUUUCUCUGGCACCGGUUCGGGGCCUGCCCGGACCUCGCCGCACGCUGCAGAACCUCGCCCAGCGCCCACCAUGCCCCGGCAGCUCCGCGCGGCGGCCGCGCUCUUCGCGUCCCUGGCCGGGAGAGGAGGAGAGUGGGAA